UCAAGAAUCCUACAUGGAUCAAACUUAGUGGGAAUUUUACUUUGAUAGACAUCUAGAGGUGAUUACAUUUUGGAGUAGUUUGGUCAAAGGUCAAGG